rnacentral:rRNA from 1 species
GACGAACGCUGGCGGCGCGCCUAACACAUGCAAGUCGAACGGAGCAUUGAAGCUUGCUUUGAUGCUUAGUGGCGAACGGGUGAGUAACACGUGAGCAAUCUGCCUUCGAGUGGGGGACAACAGUUGGAAACGACUGCUAAUACCGCAUAAGACCACGCUUCCGCAUGGAAGAGCGGUCAAAGGAUUUAUUCGCUUGAAGAUGAGCUCGCGUCCGAUUAGAUAGUUGGUGAGGUAACGGCCCACCAAGUCGACGAUCGGUAGCCGGACUGAGAGGUUGAACGGCCACAUUGGGACUGAGACACGGCCCAGACUCCUACGGGAGGCAGCAGUGGGGAAUAUUGCACAAUGGGGGGAAACCCUGAUGCAGCGACGCCGCGUGAGCGAAGAAGAUCUUCGGAUUGUAAAGCUCUGUCUUAGGGGACGAUAAUGACGGUACCCUGAGAGGAAGCCACGGCUAACUACGUG